GAAUAUAUAUUAUCUAUUAACAUUGUAAAUGCCCAAAUUUGCUUGGGCUCAUAAAAAAAUAAUCUAAGAAAUAGAAUAAAAAAUAAUAAGUCCAAAAAAUUUACAAGCCCAAAAGAAAAACAAAAUACAAAAUCCUAGCGCAAAAGUUAUAAGCUCACAACCUAAACUAAUUCAGAAACCCUAAGUUCCCCAUGUGCGCCGCACCCCUCCCCUCGAUCACGCCUCUCGCGCCUCGUCCCGAGGCCUGACCCCUCCUCUACUGCCUUGCACCAAAACGGCAAAGGCGCCUCUUCAUCGCCUCCGUCAACACCUGCAAAC
rnacentral:lncRNA from 1 species